GCCAUCGUUGCACAAUGGUAGUGCGUUGCUUUCCUAUGGCGAAAUGACGUUGAUGAGGCAGAGGUUGCGGGUUCGAGUCCCGUCGAUGGUU